CUGAAAGUUACAGCGCCUGCGCAGGGAAUAGAGACUCAAACACGUCAGGCGGGGUUUAGCUGGUACCCUCCUCUUCGCCCAGGCUGGCCUCCUCCACGUCGAUUAAAGAUGCCCCGCGGGAGUUAGCGGAACGCGCUCGGUUCGCCUUUGCCGGGGAGCAACGAGAAGCUCGAUCGUCAGUUGCAAAGCGCGGGGAGGAGGCGCAGGCAGGUUGGCCGGAGGGGAGGUCGGCGGGCGCGGGACCGGGCCAAAUGGUGAGGCAGUGCAGGAGGUAGCCUCUGGUUUCUCUCCUCUUCCCUUUCCUUCGCUUUUUCGCCGGCAGAAGCUCUCCCAUUUUCCGUCCGGCACCCAAGUUGCAGAAGUCAGAGGGUUCAACACUCAGGCCGAUGAAUUACAAAUGAAACUUUUGCUCAGUUUUCCCAGAUUUCUGCAGCAAGAUGUUUACUGCAAAUACCACAAACUGGGUUACUUUUGAAGAUGAAUCCCAGUCUCCUCAAAUAGCAAGAGAAAAUGAUAACGUUUGCAGACCAAAUGGGCUUAAACUCACACUGCCUAAAAUGCAAGAUUUUUCAAACCAAUCGUCCUCCAUAACCUGUACUUCUCUUUCAUCUCCUAUAAGUGACUACUACUAUAGCCCUGAUCCCCCCAGUAAUUCUCCACUCUGUACACCCACCAGAGACUAUCCUAUCAGUCCUUGCUUUCCCAAAUCAGGAACUCAUUUUCUUAGUCCUAUUCCAGAAUUGUCAUCCAACGUUAAUCAUCUCCCACUGAUUGAAACACCUUCUCAAAAAUUGAUUGGAAUAUCUCAGCCUGUGCACAGUUCAGAAUUUUCUACUCUGAAACCAAUACCUGGUGCAAAAGUUAUGUAUCAGGAAAACUCAAAGAAAUUGGAAAAUACCUUAGACUCACAAGCCUUUUUUCAGGAUGUUUCAAGUGAAUCUGCUUUCUCCAAUCCAUUUUGGUCAGAAGGUUCAUCUACUGUGUCUUUGCCAAGCUUUCAUGGACAUGGAAAAGAGUCAGAUUUUGAAAGAGAUUUUUCUUUUAAAGGAAAGAAAAGCUGGCCAGAUCAGAAAAGCUUAAACCAGGGUUCAUUCAAUUAUAUAUGUGAGAGGCUUGAACACUUGAAAACAGAGACUUCAAACACUGAAAGAGCUUUGAGACCAGUUCCAUGUAUGUGCACUAGAGAUGGCCUUCCUUCAUUUAUUCCAAGCAGUCUCUUUAGCAGCCAGCGAAAAGAUGGCUGGCCUUUCAUGCUAAGGAUUCCUGAAAAGAAAAAUAUGAUGUCAUCAAGGCAGUGGGGUCCUAUUUACCUUAAAGUUUUACCAGGAGGAAUCCUACAAAUGUAUUAUGAAAAAGGUCUUGAAAAUCCUUUCAAAGUAUUCCAGCUGCAACAAUUUUGCAGGCUUUCAGAACCAAAGUUAGAGAACUGCAACAUCUCUGGGAAAAUCCAUACGGUGAAAAUUGAAUAUGUGACAUAUACAGAGAAAAAGAAGUAUCCUAAAACUGAAGUGGUUCAUGAAGCAGAGAUUGAACAGAUGCUGAAAUUAGGAACAACUGAUUACAGUGACUUCAGUGACUUCCUAAUGGUAGUUGAGGACGAGUUAAUGAAGCUUCCUGCUUUUUCAAAACCAAAGAGACAUUAUGAAGAACAAAAAAUGAUCUUGGAAAUAGUGGAUAAUUUUUGGGGGACAAUUAGUAAAGCAGAAGACAGGUUAGCUGAAACUGCUGUCAUAACUCAUAUUUAUUCAUUAAACUUUUUGAAUGGUAAUUCUGAGUGCUUUAUGACACUAAAUGACUUGGAGCUACAAAAGAGGGAUGAACAUUAUUUUGAGUCAGACAAUAAGAAAAAAUGGAUUGAAAUUAAUGACUAUCACUUUCAUCAAUGUGUGAAGAAGCAAGAAUUUGAGCAUUCAAGAAUAAUUAAAUUUAUACCACCAGAUGGCUGUAGAGUAGAACUAAUGCGUUAUAGGACACAAUAUAAUGGAUCAGAUCUUCCAUUUUCUGUCAAAGCCUUGUCAGUCGUUCAAGGAGCUUAUGUCGAACUGCAAGCUUUCAUAAACAUGUCUUCAGCAUAUUCAUACCCUACAAAACACUGUGAGAAUGUAAUGGUUCACUUUCCUGUUCCCUCACAAUGGAACAAAACUCUUUGGACUAUGAACCUCCAAAGACAGAGAUCCCUGAAAGCAAAAAUGAACAGAAGAACUUGCCUUGGCUCUUUAAAUGAGCUUGAAUCUGACUCCAUUAUUCAUGUCUCAAUUGGAACAGCCAAGUAUGAAAGUGCCUAUAGAGCUAUUGUGUGGAAAAUUGACAGACUACCAGAUAAAAACUCAAAUCCAGAUCAUCUGCACAGUUUGUCUUUCAAACUAGAACUUGGCUCAGAUCAAGAAAUCCCUUCUGACUGGUGCCCUUUUGCUGUAGUGCAGUUCGUUGUGUCUGAAGCAUGCGCCUCAGGAACUGAAGUGAAAUCAUGGGGAAUUGAUAGGGAUGUACAGCCCCAGAAACAUGUGAUUCAGAAAGCAUGUUAUAAUUGCCAGGUUGAAAUUGAGAAGAAAUGGAUUAGACUUGAGGGAGAAGAUCCCAAUAAGGGUGGAGAUUGUGACAUACAGUAGAAGAGAGAAGUAAUCUGGAUUCCUUUUGAGGUUGUGAGAAAUAUUUUAAUGUAAGCAGAAUAAUUUAAAGGCAGUAAAGCAAUGGAUUUCAGUAUAUAAUUUUCAAAUUGUCAUGUAAAAAGUUUAGGUACAUAAUUUGCUAAACAUUUUCUAAACAUUUAAUAUAUUAACUAUAACAUUAUAAAGGUAAAUACUAUAAGUUAGUUCUGUUUCAGAGUUUGUGGAGAAAGAAACUGAACGCAGUUAUAGCUUGCAAUUCCUUACCUUUUCCUGAAGUAAUACAACUAUGCACUGCAACUGCCAUGUAAUUGCUGGGAAAAUAUAUUUGGGUUAACAAACGGCAGUAAAUUCUAUUUAUACUUUUGUAUAUUCCUAAACAACCUUCUGCCUUUCAAACCAAAGGACUUACUAUAUUGAAAAUAACCAUAUUUUAUAUGACUUCAAAGUCAGCUGAUCACAAACCUUUUUCAUGUUAGCAUCCAAAUAUUUCAACUUUUGAUGAUGUUUAGAAUUAUAAGACAUAGAAAAAAUCUGUCUGUAUAAUCCUGUUUAUUCUUUCAACUUUCAUUAAAAAAGAUGCAGGCCCAGCUACAUUUAUUGGUGGAUUCAGUGAUGAGCUUAGAAGUUUUACUGUAAAUUGAACCUUUUACAUUGUAUGUACUUCAAUAUGUUCUUUUGCUACCUAAAUGUACAUGUGUGGAAUAUUACUAGAAUAUAACAGAUAUUUUUCAGGGUGCUGUUGGCAAAAAUAGAGAGCUAAUCCAUUGCUUCCUUCCAAAGUUGUUAAUAUAGGGGAAGUACUGCAAUAAUUUGAACUUCCUUUCUUUGGGCUUUUGGUGAAAAUGGUUUUGCAUUGCUAUAUUUUGCCAUUGGUUAAAAAUUAUUUUGAAUCUCCAACAAGAACAUAAGUUAGAUUGGAAAAAAGAGGCUUCAUUUGUUCUUCAUAAAAGCUGAAGAACAACAUAUGAAUAUGAAAAGCAAAACCAAAGUUCUUUUGUUCUGCCAGAUGAGCUAGAGUUUACUUAAUGAGUGUGGAGUGGAUUGCACCUGAUUCUAAGGGAAAACAGCUAUACCUAAUAUGAUCAGCUUACCCUUUGGACUAUUUUGAACUUAUUUUUAAAAUUUAUUAUUUAGAUAUAUUUGGACAUUUGGGAAGAGGACUCAUCACUGUUUUCAAUCUUGAGGCCUUGCUGCUCACAGAAGAAUGAUUUGAUGCUGAAAGUUUUAUCAACAUUUGAAUUAUAGAUCAGAUGAAGUUUGGUACUUAUUGAAUAUUCUUUAUAGUUAAAAGAGGAAUUACUGGAGAUCAGUUCUACAUGUGAAAAGGGAGGAUCCUGCUGCAGUUCACAUGAGAAAAGCCAAAAAGCACAGUUUAGAUACCGAAUAAAGAUGGAAUCUUGUUGCUUAAUUUGAUGUUAGAGCUUGUCAAUUUUUCAUGCAAAAACUGACUUUAUGAUGAUUGGUGUGGCACCAUUCUCAUUGCUAUAUCACAUUUUGCAGAAAAAUUAUGGAGCAUAAUCACACAUCCCUCUCGUAAUUUUGAAUUAUUUUGAUGUAAUUUUGACCUGAAGCUAUAUCUUGGAAACUGGAGCAAUUAAUACUCAGGACUUAAUUUUCAUUUAUUAGUGACCCAAUUCUGGUAAAAUUAAGAUCCUUUCAUUUCCGAAGUUUCUCCUUGUAGACCAAUGUAUUUGGGAGUCAAACUAUUCUCCAAAGCACCUGAGGAUAGAACAAGAAGCAAUGGGUGUAAACUAAUCAAGGAGAGAAGCAACUUAGAACUAAGGAGAAAUUUCCUGACAGUUAGAACAAUCAAUAAGUGGAAUAACUUGCCUCCAGAAGUUGUGAAUGCACCAACACUGGAAAUUUUUAAGAAUUUUUUUUUAAAUUUGCAUUUAUAUCCCGCCCUUCUCCAAAGACUCAGGGCGGCUUACACUAUGUUAGCAAUAGUCUUCAUCCAUUUGUAUAUUAUAUACAAAGUCAACUUAC